UGCGGUUAAAAAGCUCGUAGUUGGAUUUCUGUUGAGGAUGACCGGUCCGCUCUUUGAGCGCGUAUCUGGUUCAGCCUUGGCAUCCUCUUGGGGAACGCUACUGUGCUUGAUUGCAUGGGGCGGUAUUCAAGACUUUUACUUUGAGGAAAUUAGAGUGUUCACUGCAAGCGUUAGCAAUUGAAUACAUUAGCAUGGAAUAAUAAUAUAGGACCUUGGUACUAUUUUGUUGGUUUCUAGAACUAAGGUAAUGAUUAAUAGGGACAAUUGGGGGCAUUCGUAUUAACGCGUCAGAGGUGGAAUUCUUAGAUUGCGUUACGACGAACUACUGCGAAAGCAUUUGCCAAGGAUGUUUUCAUUGAUCAAGAACGAAAGUAUGGGGAUCGAAGACGCUUAGAUACCGUCGUAGUCUAUACCAUAAACUAUGCCAACUAGAGAUUAGAGGUCGUUCUCUUUAUGACUCCUUCAGCACCUUAUGAGAAAUCAAAGUCUUUGGGUUCCGGGGGGAGUAUGGUC
rnacentral:rRNA from 1 species